rnacentral:rRNA from 1 species
AGUAAAUAGAUACCCAGGUAGUCCACGCCGUAAACGAUGUCGACUUGGAGGUUGUGCCCUUGAGGCGUGGCUUCCGGAGCUAAACGCGUUAAGUCGACCGCCUGGGGAGUACGGCCGCAAGGUUAAAACUCAAAUGAAUUGACGGGGGCCCGCACAAGCGGUGGAGCAUGUGGUUUAAUUCGAUGCAACGCGAAGAACCUUACCUACUCUUGACAUCCAGAGAACUUUCCAGAGAUGGAUUGGUGCCUUCGGGAACUCUGAGACAGGUGCUGCAUGGCUGUCGUCAGCUCGUGUUGUGAAGUGUUGGGUUAAGUCCCGCAACGAGCGCAACCCUUAUCUUUUGUUGCCAGCGGUUAGGCCGGGAACUCAAAGGAGACUACCAGUGAUAAACUGGAGAAGGUGGGGAUGACGUCAAGUCAUCAUGGCCCUUACGAGUAGGGCUACACACGUGCUACAAUGGCGCAUCAAAGNGAAGCGACCUCGCGAGAGCAAGCGGACCUC